UAGGUGUUCAACAACUGAGGUUUGGAAAGCAAAUCUAAAAAUGAUCACUAGACUAAGAAGACUGCCAAUGAUUUGGAUGUGGAUCUUCAUGGUCAACCAGGACCUAAGAAUGAGGGGACCUUUUCUAUAAGAUUCUACAACUGUGAAUGUUAACAUACAGGAACCAAAUUUCAAUCUAAGGCUUGAGGCUUUACAGUGCCAGGUGACUUUCCCAAGGUGACCCUUGUGAUGAGAUGAAGGCUUCAGCUCUAAUAUUUGUCCUCAUUCCAGCAGUAGGAAGGACAUGUCCAGAAGAUUUACACUUGUUUUUGUUAACAUUGCAUUGACCAGGGCUCAGACCUGCUUCUGUAUUGCUAGGAGAUAUGGUGAGCAAUGUACCUUCAGUUCUGGGACACUGUGCUCUGCCUAUGUAUUAUGGGGAAACCUAUGAAUUUGUAAGAAGGGAAAACAUCUUGAGAGAAAAGUAGCCAUUUUGCCACCCACAGGAUUCUUCUGACUUUCACUUCUUUGAAACAAUCUGGUUUUUCCCAGUGUUAAAUAUAGAAGGGCUGAAGGGAGGGCAGGGGAAUGGGGAAAAAAAAAUAAGAACCAAG